ACAUACAGCUGAAGUUAGCAUAAAAUCCCUCCUUUACCUGUAAGGGGUUAAGAAGCUCAAAUAACCUGUUUGGUGACUGACCAAAAGGACAAAUAAGAGAAGAAGAUACUUUCCAAUCUGUGGGGGAAGGUUUUUCUGUUUGUGCUCUCA